AAUAAAUAAAUUCAGCCUUAUGCAAGUCGGCGGCUGCCGGCGACACUUUCGAAUUGCGGGGAACUCCUAAGAGCCUUUUACACCAAACCAGCCCGGGAAACCGGCUGGCGGCCUGUGGGAAACUACAGGGUAUGGUAAUAGUUUAAAAGGAUGAGCCAACUCUGGCGAAAUGGACAAUCCGCAGCGAAGCCCCUGUUGUCCCUGGGACAUGGGGAACGUUCACAGACUAAAGUGGAAGUGGGUGGGCUCAUUUUGCGUUCAAUGGCCUGCUUAAGAUAUAGUCGAGCCCCUGCGGAAACGCUGGGUGGGAGAAACUGUUCCGUAGGUGAACCUGCGGAAGGAUCAUU
rnacentral:ncRNA from 1 species